ACCACGUCAAAUGCCUUACUCAAUUCAGCACCAUUCACCCAUAUGAUAAAGCAUCAGGAAAUUUACCUCAACCUGAGGAGUAAGGCUGUUGGUUGCUGUGAUUUCCAUUUUUGUGGUUUUUUAUCAUGAAAACUUCAGUGUGCUUGUUAGUAUAGCACAUAAUAGAUCCUCAAGCUAAUGCUGACCUUUGUCCCUGAAGGAAGAGGUACAUCCAGCAACGUUCUGCUCCAUCCUUAUCUUCCCGACGUACGCUCAUCUAACUUCACUGCUUUUGCUGCUACAACUUGUCUUACUUCACCGACGAGUUGGAACACUUCAGUGGUCGCUACCCUUUGC